CCCUCCCCAAGGUUCCUAAACGCGGAUGUAUGUAAGGAUUACCCGCAGAGAGGCGGGUACAGCGUGGGCUGGGAAGGCCUUGGAUUCUGCAUUCGAACAACCCCAGGGGGAUUCCAGGCAGACCAGCAGCCUCCUUAAGCGCUCAUCCCCAAGAUCCCCCCACGUGGACCAGCUCUGGAGUGGAGGUGGAAAGAAGAAGGGGGGGUUACCUCUACACCUCCACACCCCGGCCCAUCCUCCUCCUUCCUCCCUCCUUUAGGGAGAUGCCCACCCCUUUCCGGGAUUGGAAGUCUGGGGGGGACACCUCCCCAGGGAGCCCCGGGCUGGAGGCAGUGUCUGGAGGCAGCAUCUCUUCAUCCGCCCACUGAGACCACUGAAGCGGCGGGUGGAGGGGUCUUGCGCUCUGCCAGCCACCCUCCUGCCCUGUGCCUGCCCUCAGGCACGUGUGCUCCGACCGCUGGGAGUCUCAGCUUGGAGGGCAGGGCAGGGGGACCUUCAACAGGUUGGAAAACAAGUAGCCAAACAGCCCAGCUCGGACUGAAGGUCGGCCUGGAGUUGGGGACGCAGGGGACUGGUCCUUGGGGUCUGGGACCACUUGUCUCAGAGGAGCUGCCGCAGCCUGAGGCUUUGACUCCAGGGCCCUGAGGCGGGCCUGCGUGUCCCCUGCAGGGAGAGCCGGAGCGCUUGGCAGGAGCACCUUGGCUGCUCGACUGGGAAAUGCAUUCUGGAGGGUGGGUAGGGGAGGCCGAUGCAGCCAACACUGCAGCCACCUGGUCUGGGAGGGUGGUGGCUAUGACCGGGUGCAGGUGGAGAGGGUGCAGGGGUGGGUACCUGUGCAGGAUUUACUGACGCGAAGUGGAGAGAAACCCGGGAUGACAGCGUCAUGCUCCAGGCGUGCGCAGAGGGGAAGUGAGAGCGCAGGACCAGUGUGGGUGUCUUGGGCGCCAUGAGGAAGUACCCGCUACUUGGGGCAGAGGACGGGCCGACGUUGCCACAGGAGGGAUUUGGGUGGGAUCAGGGGAAGGCCGUGUAUCCCAUGGUUCUAGAAGUCGGGGCCCGGGUGCACAGGGUGUCUUCUUGCCAAGUCUCUUCUGACUGCUGGGGUCUUGAGUGCGUCAGUGAGAAGCUCCCCUUUGCCCCACGUAAACUGAGUGAAGACUGAGACACAAGGCUCUGAGAGGCGGGAGCAAGGCGGCAGCGGGUCAGAGGCACGCGGGCUGAGAAGACGCCUCGGCUUGCUGCUGACUUCCCACUGCGUCAACAGCUGAGCCCUGGGGUACGGGCACCCCUUGCUCGGGUUAAUGCUCUGCUGUCGCUGUCUUGGAAUUUUUAAGAAUCUUUGAACAAGGGCCCCCCCGCAUUUUCUUUUUGUACUGGGACCCACAAAUCACUCACGCAGCAGCUCCUGCUCUGGGAGCUGCCCCUGUUUCCGGGCCUGGAGCACCGAGGCUCCCAAGUACUCUGUGCAGCUGGUGAUUCCACUGCGGGACGGGGAGGCUGAGGCAGGCAUGUUCCUCUCUUUCCUCCAGACUCACCAGUCAGACUGCUCACCGGGGUGGAGGCAGGCCCUGGGCUAGGAGCGCUACCCCAGGGAAGGCCGUCCAGUGGAGAGUGGGGCAGGAGCACCCCUGACACCACUGUGCCUUCAUGAAGGCCACCAGGAGAAGGCACACAGAGCCCUGAGGGAUCGGGAGCCGGGGCGCAGGGGGAGGAAGCAGAAGCUGAGGCCUGUCACCGCCCUUUGGGCUUCGAGCCCUUUCCUUUAGGACUGUGGGGUCCCUGUCACCACCCUAUUUAACAGAAAGGAAAACAGAUGCUCAGAGGUCUGAAGUUUCAGACCCCAGACGCAGGCGCCAGGCUGGCUGUCUUGGGAGCCUGGCGUUCUGGUUCAGGUAGAAACACGAGGAUCCUGCUCCUUGAGGGUCCUUGUUGGGUCAGCCUGGGAUGGGGUCUGAGGUCUAUAUUUUUAAAAACUCCCUGGGACUUCCUACGACCUUUGCCCAAGGUCACAGCUGGAAAACAGCAAUGUCAGAGUUUGGACCCAGGGCUGUUGGUUCCAGCUCCACAUAUGCAGCUGCCCUGAAGCAGGGCUCGGAUGACCCGGGGGAGGGACUUCGGGGGGGGGGGACACUCAUUACUAAGUCUCAGUUUUUCCCCUUAAUUCUCACCACGCCCCCGCGAGGUAGGUGUCCUGCUCCCGUUUCACAGACAGACAGGUGGAGGCCUUGAGACGUCGGCGGCGUGGCCGGUGCUGCAGUGGCGCUGGGGACUGGAGGGAGCUUUCUGCCUGGGCUGCGAAUCACCAGGAGCUUUAAAAUAACGCCUUGCUGGGGCUCCGCCAGACUAGUUGCAUCGGAAUCUGUGCUUUUCACACAAAAUUGCUGGGGGUUCUGCUGCACAGGCAGGGCCGUGAACCGUGAUUUGGAGGAACUAGAGAGACGGAUUCCCCACCUGCCGGGGAGGGGAGGCCGGGGACAAUCUCAGUGGCCCCAGGUGACCUGCCAGGCUGGGCCUCUCUUGGCUCCUAGUGGCCGCAGGCCUGCAAUUUCCGCACGACCUCUCUUCUUCGGUUUGCAGCGAGAUACCUGGGAAAAGCUGGAGGACCUCUGCCCUGGAGCAAUUUGGGGCCCAGGGUGGAGCUGAUGCAGUCUCCUCUCUCUCAGGACACACACGCCGGUCCCAUCCAUGUCCUGGCUGCGGUGACCUUCACCAAGCGCCCCCAAGCCCUGGAUGCUGUGCUGUGGGGGGACACAGAGUCUGGAAGACCCCGAGCAUUGAGGCCCACUUGUAACUAAAAUCCCGAAUCCCGCUCGGCAGUGCUGCGGCACCUGCUGCAACGACCUCCCUGGGUGGGGGUGGCAGGCCCUGGUCUGUGACCUGUGACCUAGGGGAGUUCUCAGCCUCACUGGGCCGCAGAGCCACCAUCCACCAUCUUGUCCUAAACCACGUACUUUGGGAACUCAGCGCUUCUGCAGGCACCACCCCAGGGACUUCCUCCUGCCAGGCCCCUGCUGGCCCCCUGGGGUUUGGGGGCCUCCAGUGCCCCUCCACACCACCAGCCAGGCACACAGGGACUUUCGAUCUCUCUGUGAGUUUUCUCCGAGCUGGGCGGCCCGGAGCAGCUGGGUGCGUGCUGGGGAGGGCACAGGAGGGACACUGCACAGGCUUCAGCCAGGCCCCACUUCUGUCCACCCCUCGACUUUACCAGUAGCCCAGGGCGCCCCCCACAGACCCCAGAGUCAUGGCCUCUGGGGAGAGAGGUCGUCAGCUUUGAGCUUGACCCUCGGCAGAAGUCUCAUAGGACAACUGCUCAGGCCAGGAGGUGGCCGCAGGAAACGCCUGGCUUGUGACCCAGUGAACUCAGACGCUGCGGUCCCCAACACACAGUCCUUCCUCGCGCAUGAAGGGUGUGUCCCCAAUGGGACCUCCCUCACGGGGGCCGCCAGCCUGGCCCGCAGAGACUCAGGCUCAUGCAGGCGAGGUCUGCCCCACUCGCCAGCUCAGCGGGUCUGUUUCAAAGCUUGGGAGGUUCUGCUCUGUGACCCUGGGAACCUCAGCCUGCCUGGCCUCCUCGCCCUGGCCUGGAUGCAUCCCCUUCGUCCCCCGAUGGCAAGUUACAAGGGGGGGGGAGCUGCUCUUGGCCUCGGGCCAGCCUGGCUUCCGAGUACCUCCCCCUAGGCUGGAUCUAGUCCCUGUGGGCUGGGAGUCAGAGCAGACCUGGCCUCCAUCAGCUUCCUGCUCCCUCGGAGAAGCUGCUCACCCUCCCGAGCUCUGGUUUUCUCCAGCUGCGUGGUGGAAAGGAUGCUCCCGGGCAGCGACUAAGGGAUGAGAUGCCCGAGAGUGUGCGGAAGCUCACAGCACAGUCCCGGCACAGGUAGGCGCUCAACCGGCACUUAAUGAACAUUUGCAGACUCUGCCAGUGUCUGUAUCAGAUAAACGCGUGAUUACUAAGUGCGACCCAGGCUGUGACAGGACUGUGGGGCCCUACUGGGCGGGUCGGCUGGUCAGGAAGGGCCUCUGAAGACGUGGAACGUGCGCUGAUGCCUGAGGGACGGAGGCCAGCUUGUCCUGUGUGCCAAGGCCGGGACGAGGGCCGCAUGCCUGGCCAGCGUGGAGAGGAGGGAGCGUGUGGGGUGGGACCUGGAGGCCGAGGUAUGGAAUUGCAUUUUGUUCUAAAGGCCACAGACACCACUGGGAGUCUGCAGGAGGAUGCUCCCGGCGCCCUGCGGGGUCGGGGAGCCCAAAGGAGCCCACUCAGCACCCACACACCUGCAGCCCCUAAGUAUACCCUCAGAGUCACCCUCAACCAGCGGGAGCCUGCGAUGAACAAAUGCUUCUCCCUUUCAUGCUCCGGAGGCGCCCAGGGCCAGGCACCAGUAGCACAUAGCGACAGCCACUCCACAAGACAUCCUCACGCUGGUUCACCCCCUUCCCUGCCACCCGCUCUCUCCUCCUUACUCCUCUCCCUGGGGUCGCUUUUCCAAACAAACCACCUGCAAAUCAAGCCAGUCCUGUCUCAGGCUUUGCUUUUGGGAUAGCCCAGGAGAAGCCGUAACCUUGAAUUUUGUGCUGUGCUUUGGUCACUGAGGGCUGGAGGCAGCUGGGAGCAGACGGAGGGCAAUGCGGUUGAGGAAUCCCGAUCCGGGAUGGGGGCAGAGGUGUUGGGGCAGGCAGACAGAGGGCCGAACUGGAGCUCAGUGCGGUCCAGAGGGAAUUUUGAUUGGUUUCAUUUAUUUUUUGUUUAUUCAUCUUUGGAAUCGACCUUUUCAUGUUAAGAUCCUUGUAGAUUCACAUGGUAUUGUAAGAAGUAACACACAGAGAUCCCGUGUGCCCUCUGCCCAGCGUCCCCCAGUGGUAACAUCUUGUAAAACUACAGCACAGCAUCGCAACCAGAAUCUCGACACUGAUGCAAGGCGCCCGUCUACGGACACGUCCCCAGUUUGGCUUGUCCGCACAUGCGUGUGUGUAUUUAGUCUGUAUAAUUCUAUUGCCUGUGUAGGGUCCUCCAGCACCACAGCCCAGAUACUGACCUGUUCCAUCACCUCAACAAUCUCUUUUGUUCUCCUUUUGUAACCACACCCACCUCCCGCCCUCCUCUGCCUCCAACCCCCCGACCGCCACCCAGACCCACUAACUGCUCUCCGUUUCUAGAAUUUCGUCAUUUCAAGAAUGUUAUAUAAAUAGGAUCACACACCGCGUGACGUUUUGGGACUGGCUUUUUUCACUCAAAACAAUUCCCGGCAGAUUAAUCCAAGUUGUUGUGUGUGUCAACGAUCCAUUUUAUUGCUGAGUAGUAUUCCAUGGUGUGGAUGUGCCAUUUAACCUUUCACCCAUUGAAGGUCAUCUGGGUGUUUCCGAUUUUUGGCUAUUAGAAGAAGGCUGCUACGCACAUUCGGGAGCAGACUCCUGUGAGAACGCAAGCCUGCCUCUCCCUGGGAUAAAUGCUGGAGAACGCAACUGCUGAGUCAUGUGCUAAUUGCAUGUUUAGUCUCGUCAGAAACGGCCGAACUGUUUGAC
rnacentral:lncRNA from 1 species